GUGGGGAAUAUUGCGCAAUGGAGGCAACUCUGACGCAGCCAUGCCGCGUGCAGGAAGAAGGCGCUACGCGUUGUAAACUGCUUUUAACCGGGAAGAAACCCCAGGACGUGUCCUGGGUUGACGGUACCGGAGGAAUAAGCACCGGCUAACUUCGUGCCAGCAGCCGCGGUAAUACGAAGGGUGCAAGCGUUAUCCGGAUUCAUUGGGUUUAAAGGGUGCGUAGGCGGAGCGUUAAGUCAGUGGUGAAAUCCUGCAGCUUAACUGUAGACUUGCCAUUGAUACUGGCGCUCUUGAGUGCGCUUGAAGUGGGCGGAAUGUGCCGUGUAGCGGUGAAAUGCUUAGAUAUGGCACAGAACACCAAUUGCGAAGGCAGCUCACUAAGGCGAUACUGACGCUGAGGCACGAAAGCGUGGGGAUCGAACAGGAUUAGAAACCCCGGUAGUCC
rnacentral:rRNA from 1 species